GAUUGGUUGCUAUGGGCAACUCAGCAACUUUUCCACUGGACAGGUUUUGAUAAAUCUCCUCCAGAGUCUUUAAAUCUAUGUGUUUUCUUAUAGAAUCAUCCUUGUUUAAUUGAUAAGAAAGAUAGCGAGGAAGAAAAAAGGGGGUCACUCCUGAAGAGAGAGACACGCAGAGCAGAGAGAGCUACCUGAAGGAAUUAGGAAGAAGUUGCCACUUCAUAUAAGCUCUGUCUACAGCCUUCAUAACAGCUCAGCCCUACUUGAGGAUAGAAUAUGAUGUUGGGACAUGAGGACGGGAUAUGAGAAUAAGCUAUGAAGGAUUCAGGGAUAUGCUUUGAAUACGUUUCUUCCAUACCGCAGAUCCCAAGCUGCCUCAAGUGCAUACAAACUUAUCCAGCCCCAAAAAUGUGAGCUCAAUAUGUUGAGAGCUGGCUACAGUAGGUCUAGGCAGUUUGCCUAGAGCUGUGAACUAUACAUCAUCACCAAUGCAUAAACAUUGCAAAUCACAGUAGUUUCUGUGGCAUC